ensembl:lincRNA
AGAGAAGCUGAGAUCUUCCUCCAGUCUGAACAUUGAGUGGCAUCAAGAUUGCAAAGAAACAAGAAAGGUUCUUAACUGAAAGAAAGACAGUCAAGGAAAAAUAGUCAAAUGGGAAAUUAAAUACAGAAAAGAAAAGAAUAGCUUUGAACCAGGACCGCUGAGCCAGCAUCUGAUACUUCUCAAAGCAGUUUCUCUAACAACAUGGGCUGGUGCGUAGUCUCAAAGCUGAGACAGCUGAGCAGGACUUCCUUGUCUAGUAAAAUGAGUCUACAGGGCAAGCUGAAGGCUCUUGUCCCAUGAGCAAGGAUGACCAAUCUCCUCAAUCCUCCCAGGCACAGCAUAUGGCAUACACUGUCAUUGUUCCUGAUCCCACCCAGUCUCGACACCCUCGCCACCAGCAACUCUGUUCCAAACAGGUAUAUUUUGGAGACAGAGGUGACAGAACUUGCCAAAGGAUUGCACAGAGAAGUGAGAAGAAAGCAGGAGUCAAGAAUGACAUCAGGCAUUUUGGACUCAACAACUAGCAAGUGGUGGUGUCCUCUACUGAGAUGUAGUGAGGAGGAACAGGGAUUGGUGUCUGCAAUUAUGUUAUUUAUUGAGUUAGUUGGAAUUUUCUGGUUCUCCUGCUAAAGUACAUGCUUCACAAAAAUGGAGACUUUUUGUCUUCUUGAUACAGUUCACUGCUGCCUAAAAUAAGGCUUGGAAGAAUGAUGGCACUCAAUAAAUAUUCAUUGGAUGAAUAAACUGCAGGAAAUAAAGGUAAGUGCAAUAGGUGCAGGCGAAGGAUGAGUUUAGGGUGGAGGAAUUAUAGAUUUUUUUUUUUUUUGAGAUGGAGUUUUGCUCUUGUUGCCCAGACUGGAGUACAAUGGCGAGGUCUCAUCUCACUGCAACCUUCACCUCCUGAGUUCAAGUGAUUCUCCUGCCUCAGCCUCCUCGGCACUGGGAUUAUAGGCACCUGCCACCAUGCCUGGCUAAUUUUUGUAUUUUUAAUAGAGACGGGGUUUCACCAUGUUGGCCAUGCUGGUCUCAAACUCCUGACCUCAGGUGAUCCGCUCCCUUCAGCUUCCCAAAGUGCUCAGAUUACAGGCAAGAGCCACCGUGCCAGCUGAGGAAUUACAGUUUAAUUUGGGAAAUGUUCAAUUCAAAAAGCCAAGAAAAGAUCAAAUUGUAGAAAUCAUAUAAGUUGUCAGAUAUUGGAGCUUAGGGAAAAGGUCAAAGCCGAAGAGAAAAAUGUCAGGGGCAUCCAUGUCAGAUUGGUACCUAAAGUCAAGAGGCAAUGGAAUCACCUAGGAAAAGGUCUCUCUGGCGAUCAGAGAGAAAAGCACAGAGGGCCACCGAUAUUUAAAGAUCUGGAAAAGAAUGAAGAGCCAGCAAAGGGAACUAGGAAGGAGUCCAGGGCUAUUCAGGAAAGCAAAUGAAGAGACAUCAUUGUCUUAGAAACCACAAGAGCAGAGGGUUUCAAGGAGGAAUCGAAGAGCUGGGUUCAAUCCUACUAAGAAGACACAUAAGAUGGGUGUUGUUCCUGUGUCUCUUGCUGAGUUACCAAUUCACUGAGGGCUGAGCUUUUGCUGUUGCGUCAUGCUGUGCCCAAGAUAAUAUCACCAUGCCCUGCUGUGACAAGAAACACCAGGGAGGCAGAUGUGGGAUGGUGCAAAGGGUCCCCAGAGAGACAUGGAUCCUUAUCCCUGCUGAUAGCACUGGCUACCUUUGGCUGAGAAUCUACUCCAUGCUUGGCACAGUGAUAGGCACAUGACAUGGUAUGUCUCAUUUAAUACUCACAGUGAGAGGGAAGACCCACUUGCCUCCUUCCCCGUCUCAAUCUCCACCUCCCUCCUCCCCUCCCAUCCAGAUGGGAAGAAGGGUGAAAAAGAAAUAAAAUACCAAACAGCUUGAAUCCAUGGUCAGGUGACUUGCUAACGCCACUGACCCGGCAAUAAAGAGGCCCAAAGACUGAGAAGAUGACUCUCUUUUUGGUUCCCAGCAUCUCUGCUAUCUAUAAGCCUUGAAAGAGUUGCAGAGAAUGUUAUCACUACCGGCUGGAGCCCGGCACUGGUUCAUGUCCCGCACAUUUGCACGACCCAGGCUCCCUCCUGGAAAUACGUCUGCCAACAUAUAAUCUACUGCCUUUGUUUUGUCUUUGUAAGCCCCCUCCCCUGCCUUUUCCCGCUCACGCUGCAUAUGAACUAGCAAAUCAAUGAAGCCAAAAGAUUGUAAGGUUGGACAUCCAGCCAAUGGGCAAUGAUAUAGUUUUGCCUCAGUUUCCCCUUUAGUGUUGUAAGCCUAUAAAAAGGGAAAGAAGCUGCUUCUUGGGGAGCUCGGUGAAUGAGGCUUUAGCCCCCUGAAGCUCCUGGCCAAAUAAAAAACCACUUCCUUCCUCAGUUCGGUGUUCGAGAGGUUCGUUUCCGGCCAUUCCUGCUUUAACAGCAACUCCUUAGAUGGAGAUAACACUGUGAGGUACUUGUAUGAUGGCCGAUUGAAGCGUUUCUCAAAGUCAGGGUGCUGGUCGAUGCCAGAGACCAAUAUGAACUUUAUUGUGGUGAUGGUUAAGGGAGCGGGCUUUGGAUUUGGACAGACCUGAAUUUAGUUCCUGGUGCUGCCACUAGCUGAAAACAUGGUGUCACCUCUCUGGAUCUAUUUCCUCACCAGUAAAAUGAUCUAGUUGGAUGAGGAGAUUACA